UUGAUUUGUAAUAUAUUUUUAUCGUGGUUCACGAAGUUUGUUCACAACCAAGGAUUGUCAAGUUAAAUACAUAUGUGAUUUUGUAUGCGACCGACAACAAGGAAGGAAGUCUGGGUAUAAGAAACACUGUCAGGGUAAGAGUAAGGAUAUUCAUUAUGGACAUCAUGACAGCAAUGCUAAGCAUCCUGUUGGUGCUUAUUCUGUUUCUUGUGAUGCGGCGUGAUCCUGAGAAAUCACGAAUAAAGAAGAUGCUGAGCAAAAUUCCUGGACCACCCACCUACCCAAUUCUUGGAAAUGCCUGGGAACUUAUUAAUUUACCCUCACACCGUUAUAUGGACGUUUUAUCGAAAUACAGCAAUGACUACGGGCCCAUAUUUUGUACCUGGAUCGGGACCAAAGGGAUCGUCAGUCUCAACACUGCUGAGACAGCUGAGGUAACAGUUACAAUAACUCAGGUCUACGUGUCUU